rnacentral:misc_RNA from 1 species
UACAGAGGCCCCAAGCAUUAUCCGGAAUCACUGGGCGUAAAGGGUGUGUAGGCGGCUUUGCUAGUCCUUCGUGAAAGGCUUUCGGCUUAACCGAGAGAGCGCGGGGGAAACGGCAUGGCUUAGAGGAUGCGAGAGGUAAAGGGAACUCAAGGUGUAGGGGUGAAAUCCGUUGAUAUCUUGGGGAACACCAAAUGCGAAGGCACUUUACUGGCGCACUCCUGACGCUGAGACACGAAAGCGUGGGUAGCGAACGGG